rnacentral:rRNA from 1 species
GAUGAACGCUGGCGGCGUGCCUAAUACAUGCAAGUCGAGCGAAUGGAUUAAGAGCUUGCUCUUAUGAAGUUAGCGGCGGACGGGUGAGUAACACGUGGGUAACCUGCCCAUAAGACUGGGAUAACUCCGGGAAACCGGGGCUAAUACCGGAUAACAUUUUGAACCGCAUGGUUCGAAAUUGAAAGGCGGCUUCGGCUGUCACUUAUGGAUGGACCCGCGUCGCAUUAGCUAGUUGGUGAGGUAACGGCUCACCAAGGCAACGAUGCGUAGCCGACCGGAGAGGGUGAUAGGCCACACUGGGACUGAGACACGGCCCAGACUCCUACGGGAGGCAGCAGUAGGGAAUCUUCCGCAAUGGACGAAAGUCUGACGGAGCAACGCCGCGUGAAUGAUGAAGGCUUUCGAGUCGUAAAACUCUGUUGUUAGGGAAGAACAAGUACUAGUUGAAUAAGCUGGCACCUUGACGGUACCUAACCAGAAAGCCACGGCUAACCACGUGCCAGCCGCCGCCGUAA